UACGUAGGAGACGAGCGUUGUUCGGAAUUACUGGGCGUAAAGCGCACGUAGGCGGCUUUUUAAGUCAGGGGUGAAAUCCCGGGGCUCAACCCCGGAACUGCCCUUGAAACUGGAGAGCUAGAAUCUUGGAGAGGCGAGUGGAAUUCCGAGUGUAGAGGUGAAAUUCGUAGAUAUUCGGAAGAACACCAGUGGCGAAGGCGACUCGCUGGACAAGUAUUGACGCUGAGGUGCGAAAGCGUGGGGAGCAAACAGG
rnacentral:rRNA from 1 species